GAUGAACGCUGGCGGCUUGCCUUAUACAUGCAAGUCGAGCGAACGGACGAGAAGCUUGCUUCUCUGAUGUUAGCGGCGGACGGGUGAGUAACACGUGGAUAACCUACCUAUAAGACUGGGAUAACUUCGGGAAACCGGAGCUAAUACCGGAUGAUAUUUUGAACCGCAUGGUUCAAAAGUGAAAGACGGUCUUGCUGUCACUUAUAGAUGGAUCCGCGCUGCAUUAGCUAGUUGGUAAGGUAACGGCUUACCAAGGCAACGAUGCAUAGCCGACCUGAGAGGGUGAUCGGCCACACUGGAACUGAGACACGGUCCAGACUCCUACGGGAGGCAGCAGUAGGGAAUCUUCCGCAAUGGGCGAAAGCCUGACGGAGCAACGCCGCGUGAGUGAUGAAGGUCUUCGGAUCGUAAAACUCUGUUAUUAGGGAAGAACAUAUGUGUAAGUAACUGUGCACAUCUUGACGGUACCUAAUCAGAAAGCCACGGCUAACUACGUG
rnacentral:rRNA from 1 species